rnacentral:rRNA from 1 species
ACUCCUACGGGAGGCAGCAGUGAGGAAUAUUGGACAAUGGAGGCAACUCUGAUCCAGCCAUGCCGCGUGUAGGAAGACGGCCCUAUGGUUGUAAACUACUUUUGUACGGGAAGAAAUACAGUCACGUGUGAUUGUUUGUACGGUACCGUAAGAAUAAGCACCGGCUAACUCCGUGCCAGCAGCCGCGGUAAUACGGAGGGGUGCAAGCGUUAUCCGGAAUCAUUGGGUUUAAAGGGUCCGUAGGCGGGUAAUUAAGUCAGUGGUGAAAUGCAGGGGCUCAACUCCGGCACUGCCAUUGAUACUGGUUAUCUUGAAUUAUUGUGAAGUGGUUAGAAUAUGUAGUGUAGCGGUGAAAUGCUUAGAUAUUACAUAGAAUACCGAUUGCGAAGGCAGAUCACUAACAAUAUAUUGACGCUGAUGGACGAAAGCGUGGGGAGCGAACAGGAUUAGAUACCCUGGUAGGAUAGCG